rnacentral:lncRNA from 1 species
CCGCCAUGUUCCCGUUUUAAUAACUGCCUGCUUGUUUAUUUCAAUGGAGACCCUCCCACCGCUCGCCCUCCUCCUCCUCCUCCUCCUCCCCUUCUGCCCGGAGGAGGGCCGGGCGGGGGGAGGCACAAGGCACAAGGCACACGGCACACCCUCUGCCCCCGGGCACGGCGGUGGCGGCUGUGGCCGGGCUCAGCUCUAGGGGCCGGGCCGGUGCUCCCGCGGCGCUGCCCAGCUCGGCGCCCGCGGACAAUGGCAGCCGCCCGCGCUCCGGAGGGUGAAGGAGGGGAGAGGAAAAAAAGUCCUUCGUCCUCAGCGGGAGAGACUUUAAGUGCGGCCCCUUCUCUGCCCCAGGGUACUCGUGAUCCCAGACCUUUGCCACUUCCAGUGUUUGCUAUUGAAACACUGCAAAAAAGUAAGGCAUUCCAACCAGCUUAGGACUUCUUCCUGAAUAUCAUCAUUCAAGGAUCAGACCCUGUUUUUCAGGUCUGUAUGCAGCCAUGAAGGAAAGGAGAGCGCCCGACCUCCCACCUUCUCAGCACAAGCACCAUGCGCCUCACAAC